AUGGGAAGUACUGCUGAAUCAAUAGCAGCAUGCCAGAAACUGAAGGCAGACAGACCUCCAAGCAGCAUUCUGUGUCCUCCCAAAGGACAUGCAGCAGCUGCUGCUUUCCAAUCCCAAACGAGCCGUACUUCUUCAAGCGAGCCAAGAAAAGGUCUCAAGACUUGGGGACAUUGUCUCCCAGACAAGUUUGUAGCAGUUCACUUUUUCUUCGUACUAUUAAUAUUGCAAUUCUUUUAUCCACAGAGUAAAAAAUUCGUACGAUUUUUUAUACAUGGGUGCUGGCCUGCUGGAUUUGACUCACUUUUAUCCACAAAGUCUAAAAUUUACACGCAUUUUUUAUAUAUACAUGGCUGCUGGAUUUGA
rnacentral:rRNA from 1 species